rnacentral:ncRNA from 1 species
UUGGUUCACUUUUAGUGAUGAAAAGGGAAUCGGGUGAGAAUCCCGGACAGUCCCGCUGCUGUGAGCCGUCCUUUCAUACCGCCAACGACACGCCACUGGCACCUGCCGGGAAGGUGAUGGCGGUAAGACGACGAAGUCAGAAGACCUGCCAUUGC